rnacentral:rRNA from 1 species
GAUGAACGCUGGCGGCGUGCCUAAUACAUGCAAGUCGAGCGAACGGACGAGAAGCUUGCUUCUCUGAUGUUAGCGGCGGACGGGUGAGUAACACGUGGAUAACCUACCUAUAAGACUGGGAUAACUUCGGGAAACCGGAGCUAAUACCGGAUAAUAUCUUGUACCGCAUGGUUCAAAAGUGAAAGACGGUCUUGCUGUCACUUAUAGAUGGAUCCGCGCUGCAUUAGCUAGUUGGUAAGGUAACGGCUUACCAAGGCAACGAUGCAUAGCCGACCUGAGAGGGUGAUCGGCCACACUGGAACUGAGACACGGUCCAGACUCCUACGGGAGGCAGCAGUAGGGAAUCUUCCGCAAUGGGCGAAAGCCUGACGGAGCAACGCCGCGUGAGUGAUGAAGGUCUUCGGAUCGUAAAACUCUGUUAUUAGGGAAGAACAUAUGUGUAAGUAACUGUGCACAGCUUGACGGUACCUAAUCAGAAAGCCACGGCUAACUACGUG